AUGUUUCUCGGCGAGCCGAGAGCGGAUCCUCGGAGCCGCAGAUGUGUCGAGUCGACAUGCUCGAUAUAUCUGUUUCCUCUGCCGGGGCGGAGCAAUGCGCGCUCGUAUACAGGGUGUCCCAGGCGUUCGAUCGAUUUUGGCUAAACUGAUUUUAUUUCUGUCAUUAAUAUAAUUCAAACUUUUUUAAAUUGCCGCUGGCGAUGAUUAACAAUAAUGAUGGGAUUAAUUUUGGGUUGAAUUAACUGAUGGCAAAUUUUAUUCAGAUGGUUGAACAGUUACUAACUUUUAUUAAAAGUUACUGUCGUUAUAAUUAUUUCUUUAUUAUUAUUUUCAGGUUUACAAAUAUCUCACGCGAUUAAAUACCCGAAAUAAGUAAUUGGGGGUGUGGCAUAUCACUCGCACACCUACAUCCACAAUUAUUUCGCGAGUAAUUUCAUCGUACGAGGAACAAAAUGUAAAAUAUGUCAUUGUCGUUACGGUAUAAUUUAACAUUUAAAGCGAGACGAUUAUCGCAUAAAACGAUUAUAUAAUAUGAAUUUUACGACGUGCGAAAAAACGAGUAAAAAUGCACUAUUCUUUAUGUUUUAAGACUCAAUUGUGGCUUCCGUGUCCGAUCGAUUUCUAUAGCCGUGAAGGUUUCCUGAAAUUUCAAAGAUAAUAAAAUUACACUAUGUUUUAAUUUCUUCCAAAUAUAUACAUAUAUAUAAGUUCUAGAAACUUGAAAGUACAUGUUUAUGAAUUUUCAGAUAUUUUUUGGACCAUUUUAAAUGGAUGCAGAAAUGAUCGAAUGCGAAAUAUCCGAUAAUUAAGUUGGUUAAUAAGGUAUCCUUUUUUUCAUAUUGUAUAUAAGUAAGAGUUACAGACGAGAGGGAAUUUAUAUUUUCUUCAAAGGUUAUGUAAGAUUACAUUGCAAAGUUCUCAUUCCGUUAUUUGGUUCUGUUUUCUCAUUUCGGUAUCACGUAAACGUGCAUACGUCAUUGAACGGACGACGCCGUAUCGGAAGAGACGACUUUUUCGUGCGAGGCAUCAUCACGCGAGACGGGCGCGAUAACAACGUAAACAUGUGCGUGUGUAGAGUAGCAGGACGUUACGCAAACGUAUGCCUUUUACCUGCCGAGACGGUCGCGCGUGCCCACGUCGCGCCGCCAUUGAGGAUACUCUGGAACGAAGCCUGAUGCGUAUAAUGACGAAAAGGAAAAAAUAAUUCAGAGAUUAGGCUAACUCGGAAUAAAUUUUCGUUACUGUUAAAUAGAUCCAGAAAAGUGACUGAGGAAUACAAAUAUCAUUCACUAUUUGAUUAUACCGAUAUAAAUUUUACAUCUUAAAUAUUAGAAUCAAGUAUUUAAUUACAUAUAAAUUACUGUAAUAACAUAUACAUUCCAAAUAAUGAAAUAUUUCGAAAAUAGACUUUGCAAAAUAUCUGCCUCAAACUUUGUCAUUGGGACAUUUUGUAGAAAUAUAACGGAAUCCGUUAACAGAAUGGAGGCUGCGUUCCAAAAUUCACUGCCACUACUCAGUGAUGAUCGCCGAACGCAAGUUUAAUGGGAAUGCAGAUGAUGCCAAUUCAUCGCGAUAUCCUGUUUAAAUCUGUUGACAGCAUACUGUUAACAUACUAUUAAAAUUCUUCCUCGCUGGGAGUCAAUGAAGGUAAUCGGGUUAAUAAACGAACGUUUAGUCUCGAAAGCCAAAUACACAAUCAGAGACCAAUGUUGAAUUAUCGUAGUUAAACACAGAUUUGAUCUGUAUUUUACAAUCGAUAUUUGUCUUGUAUUAAUUUCUGUGUGGAGAUCCGCGGAAAUAAAUUUGGCUAAAUUAUAUAAUUUAAUGCAUGAAUUAAGCUACAAAAAACGACGAGGACAGUUUUUUCCAAUGACGGAAAUCGAAAGUAACAGAUACUGGCUGACGUUUGCAACAUAAAUAUGUUAGAUUAAAUUUUAGAUUAUUUUAUCCACCUGCAUUAUUUUUCACACUCUGUUUCUGCAUCCGUCUGAAUAAUAUCUUUUUCUACUCAAUCUGCAUGGUGGAUAAAAACGAAAUGUAUCGCAAUGAUAAUAAAGUAACUCACCGACUUGCAUGUUUGGUUUACCGUUCGAUGAUACAUAUAACGUAGAUUAAAUGUAUCGGAUGUACACUGGCGUGCAAAAAUAUAUUAAGUUUUUUUUUUUAUAUAGAUGGAUGUAGAUAGGUGUUUCCUGUAAGUAGGUAGGUGUGUGUAUGUGGAUGUGUGUGUGUAAAAGAUCAAACGACCAUAACUAUAUAUAUAAUCUAUAAUACAUUUAUUUGCACUGAAAAAGAAACUUGAAUAAUUUUUGCACACCAGUGUAUCUGCAUAUCCGAUCGUUAUUUUGACGCGACAUAAAUCGUGACUGUUGCGUAAAAACGUGACUUUACUUUCGCAUAAUGUACGAAUAAUUCAUAAAAGGUUUCGAAAGGUUGAUUAAUUCUCCGUGAUUAAACUAAUCAAUGCGAGCACAGACCUUUGUGUCCUAUCAAGUCUUACUGACAGUUCUACGUUGAAAAAUAACAAGUCACUGUAAUACAGACAUACCAAUUGUUCAUUUUAAGAAUUAAAAUACGCAUUAAAUAAUUGUUCUAAGCUUCUUAAGCAAUGACAAAGAAAAAUGACCAAAAUAAAUAAUAUAAAGUCUUGACACGUAAGGAAAUCGGUCCGAAAAUAUCUCAUAGUCAUUUGAUGCUAGCUGGACAGAGGUGAUAGAACACUUCCGGCAACACCACGGAAAGGUGGAAAAAUGCUGGCAAUUUGUGUACAGAGAUCAGAUGACUUUAUUUUCAUGUUUUAAACGCGGCACAAAGCAAUAGGCAAAGUGUUUUAUCAAGUUUAUUAGUAAUUGCAUAUUAUUGAAGCGGAUUACUUCGAUCUUGAAUAUGAAAAUUCAAAUUUUACAAAAUAUUAGUUGGAUUUGGAGAAACUAAUGUGCACACAAGUUGUUUUGAUGAUAACAUAACAAGUCACUGUGUUAAAAUAUUCAUUUUUUAUAUUUUAUAUUUAAUACAUAUUAAUUUAAUUUUAGGAGGAUCUAGAACAUUAUAUCCGCUCAUAAAAGAAUAGAGUUUUCUAGAAUAAAUAAAUAAAAUGAAUGAAAUAAAUGUUAAAUAUGUUCAAAAAUUCUGGCGGUUUAUUUGACAAAUAAUUUUCAAAAGUAUGCUGAUUCUAUGGUCCAUACAUUUUUAUACUAAUUCUUAUAAUAAACUCGCUUGAAUGAGUUACAAAAUAAAGUUAAAUUUAGUAUUGAAAUAAAUUAGAAUUGAAGUAAUUUAAUAUUGAAAUAUUCGUGAGAAAAAAAUGUCAAGUAAGUAUAAGAAGUUACAUAACAGACUUAUCUUUUGUUUUCUGCUGUACAUUGUAGCUGAAGCACACCGCAGAAUACGUAAUGUGCAUGGCGAUAAGCGAAAGAAGUUAUCACUUUUAGAUCUAACGCUUUUAUAAAUAUUAUAUCAAAAAGAAUUUCCUUUAUUUUAUAACUUCAUCAUUGUUUGUUAUAAAAAUUAUUAUAAAAAUGGAAUUGCUUGCAUUGACAGCAGCACCAACAUACUUGAAAGUUGCCUUUAAAAUAAACCAUCAGAAUUGUUGAACAUGUCUAAUAUUAGAUAAUAAAUACAAAAGUCUUGACUGUUUUUGAAGGAAUAUUACUCUUAUUAUAGUAUGCUAACAUAUUGCAGAUACUACGGCAAAUUAUAUAUUAUUGAAAAGAUGAUGUCAAAAAUCUAUAAAAAUAAAGUUGAUGAUAUUUGUCUUAAUCUCAGUGUUAUUUUCUAUAGGAAAAAGGAAUUUAAAGAAAAUAUAUUUGCAUGCAAUUAUCAUGUACGAAUUUCGAAAAGGAAUAAAAAUGGUAGAUGCUGUAAAAUUUUGAAAUUUAUUAUAGGUAUUUUUUUACAGCAUUCAUCAUUUCUGUCACAUUUGAAACUCAUAAAUUUCUAAUUAUAAUUUUUUUUUAUUUAUUUCCGUUAACACAAAAUAGCGCGGUAAAUAACUUAAAUGUUUUACACAAAAAACUUAAAUGUUUAAACACAAACUUUUUUUAUAGAUAGCUUUUUGAUGCUAUUUUUCCAAUAUAUAAUUUAUUGUAAUAUCUGCCAGUGUUGACUAGAACGCUAGAAAAGACCAAGACUUUUGCACUGAGAUUGAUCAUAUGAAGAUUGACUCACAAGAAAGGUACAGAAUUUUGAAUCAAUAAGAUUAUAUAAUUAGAUUCUUUGUGCAUUUCUAAUGCUUAAAAAAUUAUUAUUUUUGUGCAUUUUAAUCAGUCUUCUUGUUUAUUUUAACUGUUGGAGAUUAUUCUUAACAGCGAGCCGUUAUUUCUGACCGUUUCUAUUUUUGGGAUUAACGUAUGUAAGAGGUAUAUCAAUAGUACAUCAGAAGUAUAUAUAUCUUUAACAAAAUAUAUUCAAUAUACAAACUAUAUAGCUCAACUAAGUUAACAUUUUCCAUCAGAUUUAACAUGUUUUCAAUAGGUAGUCAAUAGCUACCUUCAGUCUUUCUAGGUCUCUUUCUGUUCAGUAUUUACAGUAUUAAGGCAACUUCGAUCAAACGGUUAAUUUAAUCAGCAGUUAAUUCAAUCACCGAAAUCGCUCUUGCGACAAUGUCCAAUCAUUCAUCUCUAAUCUUCUUUCAAGUGAUAAGAAACUAAUAAACACCCAGAUAGGAAACUUAUAAUUGUUGCAUAUGCAGCAGCAUAAAUCAUAUUUUUAAUCUAAAUCUUUAAUUGAUAAUUUAUUCAAUUAUUUAUCAAAUAUUUAGAAAUAAUAUUGAAAUAAAUAGUAUUCUCACUAAUUCUACAAUUAUGCAAGCAAAUAUUUUAACCAUUAAUUUUUUAAAGAUUGCUACAUAUUACAUAAAUUAAAUUUAGAAUUAAUGAUUUCAAACAUUAGAUUUACAAUUAUGACACAAUAUGUCAUGUAUUACAUUUUGAAAUUAAAAUGAUGUUAAAAUGCUUCGUGCGUUCCUAUCUGAGUACAUGUUGAAUGAUAAGAAACUAAUAAUUCCAUUCAUAUGCUAAUGAAAUUAUAAAAAUAUUUUAGAAGUUAAUCAGAGUUUGGUCAAAGUCAUUCCUUAAUUUAAUCGUUCAAGAUCUUUUAUUUUAACAGAUGAAUAGAUGAUAUGAAUAGAUCGAUAUAUGUAAGAUAUAUAAUGUUGAUAUAUGUAUAUAAGAAACUAUUAAUUUUAUUAUCGUGCGUUCUUUUCCACAUAUUUUGCAGUAAUACAAAGAUUGAAAUCGUUGUGAAGGUCUCGUCCGUAAUUGUAUAAAUUAUUCAAAUGUCGAAGAUAAUUAUGUUUUUUAUCGUUUUUGUUGGAAUUACAGCAAAAUAAAAGUCGCUAUCUCAAUGUUUAGCGUAACAUUCGUUCAUACGAUGAACAAAAUUAAGUAAUCCACGAGUUGAUAACUGAUAGUAUACAUAAUUAGGAAGCUGUUAUGCGCUAUGUGAUAUAUCACAUACGCUAUUCUUAAAAAAAAGCUGUUGAAAAAUGUAAGGCUAUAUUACGGAUUCGCAAUUUAUGUGCAUAAUAUCUUAAUAACCUUGAGAUAAUAUAUACCUUAAGAAUAUAGUUAGAUCACAUAAGAAAAUUUAAAAAUAAAAAAAAAUAUCCAUAUAUUCUUACGCAAGGUUUUUAUAUUUCCCAAGGAUUUAGUUUCAUCAAAUUACGACCAUUUAAGGCUAAUCUAUAAUACUUUUGCUUCCUGUUCUUGUCUUUUGCCUUUUUGUAAGCAUUUUAUCAACAAUUGUGUUUUUUGUCACAUUUCUUGCUUCUUUCAGAGUUGGUUAAUUUUUAUCUCGUCAAUUUCGAUAAAAUGUGUGCAAAUAAGCAAAAAGAUAAAAAGCAAGAAACAGGAUGCAAAAAAAAGACAUUGUAGAUUAGCCCUUAAUGUAAAGAUUGUAAAGUAAUUCACAGGUUAUAUUAAUGUUGAAUUAUAGUUUCUUUACGUUUAAAAAAAUUUAUUUAAAAAUCUAUACAAUUGUUUAUGUAAAUAAUUCAUUUUCCUUAAUCAAUGCUAAACCUGUCUGUUCCGUUAAGUUCGUCUAUUCGUAUAAAUUUUAGAAAAUUAGAAUGCUACGACUGACGAUAAUUUACACCAUCAAUUAUUUUGCCGAGCUCUAGUCAAUAUUAUCUUGUCUUUUAUAUCUAUUGCAUAGCCACGAGAAAAGUAUGAGGCAAUCAGUUAAUGACGUUUUGCGAAACAAGUGGUGUGAUCAAUGCUUUCAAGAUAAAAUUGAGCGCGAUACGUAGCAUGAAACUGAAGAUUUAACGUAACUGUCCAACAAUCUUAUAUGCAUUAGUAAUUAUAUAUAAUAUAUACUCAGAGGUUGCUGUUAUCUAUAUAAAAUUAUCUAGAUAAAGAAAUGACUUUUUUUAUCUUAGAUAAAAGAAAUGUUAUUUUUGUUGAAUUUAUUUUAAUCAAUGUAAAAUCAAUAUUGCACUCUUUUAGCCAAAUUCUCAUUACUUUAAGUGGAGAGAAUUUUUUCUAUGUGAUAACAAUAAAUUGCACAAAUCAGAAAAAAGUAGCGCAAUAUAAAAAUUGUCCCAAAACCAUUAGUGAUUCGGAAACUAUUACAAGGAACUUUUUAUUUGAGUAUUGAUCCAAGUCAAAAGAGGAACAUUUUCUGUUAGAAAAAUUUCAUUUUCUGUUAGAAUUCAAUCUAAAUAUUUAAA